rnacentral:rRNA from 1 species
AACCUCCGCAAUGUGAGAAAUCGCGACGGGGGGAUCCCAAGUGCCAUUCUUAACGGGAUGGCUUUUCUUAAGUGUAAAAAGCUUUUGGAAUAAGAGCUGGGCAAGACCGGUGCCAGCCGCCGCGGUAACACCGGCAGCUCUAGUGGUAACUGUUUUUAUUGGGCCUAAAGCGUUCGUAGCCGGUUUGAUAAGUCACUGGUGAAAUCCUGUAGCUUAACUGUGGGAAUUGCUGGUGAUACUGUUGAACUUGAGGUCGGGAGAGGUUAGCGGUACUCCCAGGGUAGAGGUGAAAUUCUGUAAUCCUGGGAGGACCACCUGUGGCGAAGGCGGCUAACUGGAACGAACCUGACGGUGAGGGACGAAAGCUAGGGGCGCGAACCGGAUUAGAUACCCGGGUAGUCCUAGCCGUAAACGAUGCGGACUUGGUGUUGGGAUGGCUUUGAGCCGCUCCGGUGCCGAAGGGAAGCUGUAAGUCCGCCGCCUGGGAAGUACGGUCGCAAGACUGAAACUUAAAGGAAUG